CUCUGUGCGAAGGCACGGCAGGGCAGAAGGAG
rnacentral:ncRNA from 1 species